rnacentral:rRNA from 1 species
ACAUGCAAGUCGAACGCGAAAGUCCCCUUCGGGGGGCGAGUAGAGUGGCGCACGGGUGAGUAACACGUAGGUAAUCUACCUUUGGAUUGGGAAUAACAACCGGAAACGGUUGCUAAUACCGAAUAAUGCAGCGGCACCUAAUGGUGACAGUUGUUAAAGCGGGGGAUCGCAAGACCUCGCGUCUGAAGAGGAGCCUGCGGCAGAUUAGCUAGUUGGUAAGGUAACGGCUUACCAAGGCGAUGAUCUGUAGCCGGCCUGAGAGGGCGGUCGGCCACACUGACACUGACAUACGGGUCAGACUCCUACGGGAGGCAGCAGUCGGGAAUUUUGGGCAAUGGGCGAAAGCCUGACCCAGCAACGCCGCGUGAAGGAUGAAAUCCUUCGGGAUGUAAACUUCGCAAGAACGGGAAGAAUAAGUAAGAGUCAAUAUCUCUUACGAUGACGGUACUGUUUGUAAGCUCCGGCUAACUCCGUGCCAGCAGCCGCGGUAAUACGGGGGGAGCAAGCGUUGUUCGGAUUUACUGGGCGUAAAGGGCGCGUAGGCGGCCACCGCAAGUCGACUGUGAAAUCUCCGGGCUUAACCCGGAAAGGUCAGCCGAUACUGCGGGGCUAGAGUGCAGAAGGGGCAACUGGAAUUCUCGGUGUAGCGGUGAAAUGCGUAGAUAUCGAGAGGAACACCUGCGGCGAAGGCGGGUUGCUGGGCUGACACUGACGCUGAGGCGCGAAAGCUAGGGGAGCGAACGGGAUUAGAUACCCCGGUAGUCCUAGCCUUAAACGAUGAAUGCUUGGUGUCUGGGGUUUUAUAGUCCCCGGGUGCCGUCGCUAACGCUUUAAGCAUUCCGCCUGGGGAGUACGGUCGCAAGACUGAAACUCAAAGGAAUUGACGGGGACCCGCACAAGCGGUGGAGCAUGUGGUUUAAUUCGACGCAACGC